CGGAACGUACCUUUCAGUGGGGGAUAACGUGGCGAAAGUUACGCUAAUACCGCAUAUUCUGUGAGCAGGAAAGCAGGGGAUCGCAAGACCUUGCGCUGAUUGAGCGGCCGAUAUCAGAUUAGCUAGUUGGUGAGGUAAAGGCUCACCAAGGCGACGAUCUGUAGCGGGUCUGAGAGGAUGAUCCGCCACACUGGAACUGAGACACGGUCCAGACUCCUACGGGAGGCAGCAGUGGGGAAUUUUGGACAAUGGGGGCAACCCUGAUCCAGCCAUGCCGCGUGAGUGAAGAAGGCCUUCGGGUUGUAAAGCUCUUUCGGCCGGGAAGAAAUCGUAUGGGUUAUUACCCUGUGCGGAUGACGGUACCGGCAUAAGAAGCACCGGCUAACUACGUGCCAGCAGCCGCGGUAAUACGUAGGGUGCGAGCGUUAAUCGGAAUUACUGGGCGUAAAGCGUGCGCAGGCGGUUUUGUAAGACAGGCGUGAGAUCCCCGGGCUCAACCUGGGAACUGCGCUUGUGACUGCAAGGCUAGAGUAUGGCAGAGGGGGGUGGAAUUCCACGUGUAGCAGUGAAAUGCGUAGAGAUGUGGAGGAACACCAAUGGCGAAGGCAGCCCCCUGGGCCAAUACUGACGCUCAUGCACGAAAGCGUGGGUAGCAAACAGGAUUAGAUACCCUGGUAGUCCACGCCCUAAACGAUGUCAACUAGGUGUUGGGUGGGUAAAACCAUUUAGUACCGGAGCUAACGCGUGAAGUUGACCGCCUGGGGAGUACGGCCGCAAGGUUAAAACUCAAAGGAAUUGACGGGGACCCGCACAAGCGGUGGAUGAUGUGGAUUAAUUCGAUGCAACGCGAAAAACCUUACCUACCCUUGACAUGUCCAGGAGCCUGAAGAGAUUUGGGUGUGCCCGAAAGGGAACUGGAACACAGGUGCUGCAUGGCUGUCGUCAGCUCGUGUCGUGAGAUGUUGGGUUAAGUCCCGCAACGAGCGCAACCCUUGUCGUUAAUUGCCAUCAUUUAGUUGGGCACUUUAACGAGACUGCCGGUGACAAACCGGAGGAAGGUGGGGAUGACGUCAAGUCCUCAUGGCCCUUAUGGGUAGGGCUUCACACGUCAUACAAUGGUCGGUACAAAGGGUUGCCAACCCGCGAGGGGGAGCCAAUCCCAGAAAGCCGAUCGUAGUCCGGAUCGCAGGCUGCAACUCGCCUGCGUGAAGUCGGAAUCGCUAGUAAUCGUGGAUCAGCAUGUCACGGUGAAUACGUUCCCGGGUCUUGUACACACCGCCCGUCACACCAUGGGAGCGGGUUCCGCCAGAAGUAGGUAGCCUAACCGCAAGGGGGGCGCUUACCA
rnacentral:rRNA from 1 species